rnacentral:rRNA from 1 species
GAAGAGACGAGUCUCAUCCGGUAGAGCGAAUGAUUAGAGGUGAUGGGGUCGAAACGACUUCAACCUAUUCUCAAACUCCCAAUAGAUGAGAGCCCCGGCUUGCUUGAAAGUGAAGCCGUGGGACUCGGAUCAGAGGUGCCAAGUGGGCCAAUUUUGGUAAGCAGAACUGGCGCUGUGGGAUGAACCAAACGCAGAGUUAAGGCGCCUGAUUCGACGCUCAUCUGAAACCA